rnacentral:tRNA from 1 species
GUUUUAAUAGUUUAACAAAAACAUUGGUCUUGUAAACCAAAAAUAAGAUCAGUCUUUUAAAACU